rnacentral:rRNA from 1 species
GACGGAGGGUGCUAGCGUUGUUCGGAAUUACUGGGCGUAAAGGGCGCGUAGGCGGCUACGGCAGUCGGGUGUGAAAGCCCGGGGCUCAACCCUGGGAUGCCGGUCGAUACUGCCGGACUAGAGUUCGGAAGAGGCGAGUGGAAUUCCCGGUGUAGCGGUGAAAUGCGCAGAUAUCGGGAGGAACACCUAUGGCGAAGGCAGCUCGCUGGGACGUUACUGACGCUGAGACGCGAAAGCGUGGGGAGCAAACAGG